GCCUGGAUGGCUCAGUCGGUUAAGUGCCUGACUUCAGCUCAGGUCAUGAUCCCACGGUUUGUGAGUUCGAGCCCCGCGUCGGGCU
rnacentral:tRNA from 1 species